rnacentral:rRNA from 1 species
UAGCAUAUCAAUAAGCGGAGGAAAAGAAACUAACAAGGAUUCCCCUAGUAACUGCGAGUGAAGCGGGAAAAGCUCAAAUUUAAAAUCUGGUGGUCCUUGGCCGUCCGAGUUGUAAUCUAGAGAAGUGUUACCCGCGCUGGACCAUGUACAAGUCUCCUGGAAUGGAGCGUCAUAGAGGGUGAGAAUCCCGUCUCUGACAUGGACUACCAGGGCUUUGUGGUAUGCUCUCAAAGAGUCGAGUUGUUUGGGAAUGCAGCUCAAAAUGGGUGGUAAAUUCCAUCUAAAGCUAAAUAUUGGCGAGAGACCGAUAGCGAACAAGUACCGUGAGGGAAAGAUGAAAAGAACUUUGGAAAGAGAGUUAAACAGUACGUGAAAUUGCUGAAAGGGAAACGCUUGAAGUCAGUCACAUUGGCCGGGGAUCAGCCUCACAAUUUGUGUGGUGUACUUUCUGGUUGAUGGGUCAGCAUCAAUUUUGACUGUUGGAAAAAGGCUUGGGGAAUGUGACAGCUCUGGCUGUGUUAUAGCCCCUUGUCAUAUACAGCAGUUGGGAUUGAGGAACUCAGCACGCCGCAAGGCCAGGUUUCGACCAUGUUCGUGCUUAGGAUGCUGGCAUAAUGGCUUUAAGCGACCCGUCUUGAAACACGGACCAAGGAGUCUAACAUGCCUGCGAGUGUUUGGGUGGAAAACCCAAGCGCAUAAUGAAAGUGAAAGUUGAGAUCCCUGUCGUGGGGAGCAUCGACGCCCGGACCAGAACUUUUGGGACGGAUCCGCGGUAAAGCAUGUAUGUUGGGACCCGAAAGAUGGUGAACUAUGCCUGAAUAGGGUGAAGCCAGAGGAAACUCUGGUGGAGGCUCGUAGCGAUUCUGACGUGCAAAUCGAUCGUCAAAUUUGGGUAUAGGGGCGAAAGACUAAUCGAACCAUCUAGUAGCUGGUUCCUGCCGA